UACACCAUAAGAUGUCUGCCAGAAUUGGUUUCCAGGAACUUGGAGUCAGCUGUGUCUAGUUGGAGCUGAGCUGGUUAAGAUUGGAAAGGACCCCAGACCCUCCAGCUGGGCAGGCAUGAGUGGCUGCUCUGUUACCUUCGAGGCCAGUAGAUGAGUUACGCCUGCGCAGAACAGAUCGUCACACCUUUUUCCGAUUACCCCUCCCCAGGCUUCCCAUGCAAAUAAAUUUCUCUUUGCUACAGGCCUCUGCCUUUCAGCAUUUGGGCAGGAGAGCCAUCAGGUAGGAGCAGAGCUUUCUUCUCUGGUGUGGGGCUUUGCAAGAGUAGCCUGAGACUUUCCAAGUGUUCUAUACAGCCCAACAGUGGAGGGAUGUGAGGAGCCAGACCUUCUGCUGAACCUUCCUGUUCCCCUGGGCUGGCUUGAAACUUCAAAGGUGCCUUUUAUCAGGUUGAGGAAACUCACUUCUAUUCCUAGACUGCUGAGAACUCAUUUGACUUCAUGUAGAAUUUGGUCAAAUACUUGUUCUACAUCUAUUGAGAUGAUCAUAUGAUUUUGCUGUGUAGUAAAUAUGUAAAAAUGAUAUAAAUUGGUUUUUGAAUGUGAAAACAAUCCUGGGAUAUAUUCUAUUUGGUCAUAAUGCAAUUUCCUUUUGAUAAACUGUUUAAAAUGAUUUCUUAGUAUUUUGUUAAGGAUUUUUGCCUCUGUAUUAACAGGGAUGUGGGUGUGUAGUUUUUGUUUCUUGUAAUGUCACUAGAUUUUCCUACCAGGUUAAUGCUGUCUUCACAGAUGAAGACAGGAGGUGUGUGCUCCUCUUUGAUUUUCUGCAUGAGUUUGUGCAGUAUUUGUACAACUUCCUUCCUUAAAUUUUUGGUAGAAUUUGCCAGUCAAGCCAUCUGGGCCUGGAGUCCUCUUUGUGGGAAGAUUUUUAACUAGAAAUUUAAUUUCAUUUUUGUUAUUGGGCUAAGCAGGUUAUCUAUUUAUUCUUUAGUGAAUUUUGGAUAUGUCAUUUUCAUCAAAGUUUUCAAGUUCUUUGGCAUAAAGUUCAUAAUACUUCCUUUUCAUCCUUUUAAUCUAGAAUUUGUAAGAAUAAUAUUUUCUCUCUCAUUCUUGGUAAUUUGUCCCCCCUCUUUUAUUCUUCCAUCUAUCUAGAUAGAGGCUUAUCAAUUGUGUUAAUCUUUUAAGGAAUCAGAUUCUGAUUUCAUUGAUCUAUUCAACUGCUUUUCUGUUUUCUAUGCCAUUGAUUUCUGUCUUUUCUGCUUGGUUUGGAUUUAAUUUUAUUCUUUUUCUAAUUUCUUAAGGUGGAAGCUUAGAUGACUGUGCCUUCUAUUCUUUUCUAGUAGAAGCAUUUCCUGUUAUAAAUUUUCUUAUAUGCAUGUUUACUGCACACUGCAACUUCUGAUCUUGCAUUUUCAUUUUUAUUUAGUUCUUCAUAUUUUAUACUUGUAAAUUUUUACUUAGAAGUGUGUUGUCUAAUUUCCAAUAAUACUUCUUAAGGGGGAUUUUCCAGAUGUAUUUCUGUUAUUGAUUUCUAGUUUAAUUCUUUUGUAGUCAGAGAAAACCACUUGGUUUGCAUUUAUUUUGAAUUUGAGGGUUGUUUUAUGGCCCAUAAUAUGGUUUCUCGUCAUGAAUGUCCCAUGUGUUGAUGUACUAUUGUUGAAUGGGAUGCAUUUGUUCACUAGAAGAGAGGAGCUUCUGCUUUUUAUUGCCUUUUUUGUUUUUUGAUUCAGAGACGAAGUCAAUAUUGUGGUUGUUCUAAUAAGCCCUCCUGAUGAUCUUAAAAAAAAUCUGUUCUAAGCUGACGUUUUCACGUCUUCAAGGCUAAUUUUAAGCUUGCACAGAGAUUUGAAUAACUCCUUGCCCUUCCUUUUCUUUUUCACCGUGUUAUGAAAUGUCUUGCUGACACCUUCUUAUGUUAUUAAAACCAGGCUUGAGUUUAUUUAAUCUUAUGUAUUUAUCUUAUUUAUUUAUUUGCUGUG